AUCCUUUUGUAGUUCAUAGCCAUGAUGACUGGGUGUUCACGCUUUUGCGUGACAUAUGCCUCCCUCAAGCCUUGUUACGACGUUUGCCCAUUACCCAUCUGACA